AGAGUUUGAUCCUGGCUCAGGAUGAACGCUGGCGGCGUGCCUAAUACAUGCAAGUCGAGCGAACGGACGAGAAGCUUGCUUCUCUGAUGUUAGCGGCGGACGGGUGAGUAACACGUGGAUAACCUACCUAUAAGACUGGGAUAACUUCGGGAAACCGGAGCUAAUACCGGAUAAUAUUUUGAACCGCAUGGUUCAAAAGUGAAAGACGGUCUUGCUGUCACUUAUAGAUGGAUCCGCGCUGCAUUAGCUAGUUGGUAAGGUAACGGCUUACCAAGGCAACGAUGCAUAGCCGACCUGAGAGGGUGAUCGGCCACACUGGAACUGAGACACGGUCCAGACUCCUACGGGAGGCAGCAGUAGGGAAUCUUCCGCAAUGGGCGAAAGCCUGACGGAGCAACGCCGCGUGAGUGAUGAAGGUCUUCGGAUCGUAAAACUCUGUUAUUAGGGAAGAACAUAUGUGUAAGUAACUGUGCACAUCUUGACGGUACCUAAUCAGAAAGCCACGGCUAACUACGUGCCAGCAGCCGCGGUAAUACGUAGGUGGCAAGCGUUAUCCGGAAUUAUUGGGCGUAAAGCGCGCGUAGGCGGUUUUUUAAGUCUGAUGUGAAAGCCCACGGCUCAACCGUGGAGGGUCAUUGGAAACUGGAAAACUUGAGUGCAGAAGAGGAAAGUGGAAUUCCAUGUGUAGCGGUGAAAUGCGCAGAGAUAUGGAGGAACACCAGUGGCGAAGGCGACUUUCUGGUCUGUAACUGACGCUGAUGUGCGAAAGCGUGGGGAUCAAACAGGAUUAGAUACCCUGGUAGUCCACGCCGUAAACGAUGAGUGCUAAGUGUUAGGGGGUUUCCGCCCCUUAGUGCUGCAGCUAACGCAUUAAGCACUCCGCCUGGGGAGUACGACCGCAAGGUUGAAACUCAAAGGAAUUGACGGGGACCCGCACAAGCGGUGGAGCAUGUGGUUUAAUUCGAAGCAACGCGAAGAACCUUACCAAAUCUUGACAUCCUUUGACAACUCUAGAGAUAGAGCCUUCCCCUUCGGG
rnacentral:rRNA from 1 species